AACUGAUACUACCUGCGGGAACCUGCGGAGGGAUCAUUAACGAUCAAAAUUGUUGUUUUGAUAACAACUUGAUAGUAGUAAGGGUCAUUUUGAUUCUUAUUACUAUUAAGCACCUUGUGAUUUUGUUCAAGUCUUUAACCUUAUUCUUUCAUUCUCGAAAGAGAGUUGAAGAAUAUUGGUUAAUUACAAACUACUUUAUUAAUGUCUGAUAUUAUAAGUUAUUGAAGUCUUUGUAUUUCA
rnacentral:misc_RNA from 1 species